rnacentral:rRNA from 1 species
ACGCUCGACACCUACGGGAGGCAGCAGUAGGGAAUCUUCCGCAAUGGACGAAAGUCUGACGGAGCAACGCCGCGUGAACGAUGAAGGUUUUCGGAUCGUAAAGUUCUGUUGUUAGGGAAGAACAAACUUCGUUUGAAUAAGGCGGAGUCAUGACGGUACCUAACGAGAAAGCCACGGCUAACUACGUGCAAGCAGCCGCGGUAAUCUGAGCGGGCUGGCAAGGC